GAUGAACGCUGGCGGCGUGCCUAAUACAUGCAAGUCGAACGCAUUGUGGUUGAAAUGAUAUGAAGAACUUGUUCAGAUUUGAUUUUCAACAUUGCAAUGAGUGGCGAACGGGUGAGUAACACGUGGGAAACCUACCUCUUAGCAGGGGAUAACAUUUGGAAACAAAUGCUAAUACCGUAUAAUAAUUAAAACCGCAUGGUUUUAGUUUAAAAGAUGGUCUUGCUAUCACUAAGAGAUGGUCCCGCGGUGAAUUAGUUAGUUGGUGAGGUAAUGGCUCACCAAGACAAUGAUACAUAGCCGAGUUGAGAGACUGACGGCCACAAUGGGACUGAGACACGGCCCAUACUCCUACGGGAGGCAGCAGUAGGAUCUUCCACAAUGGACGAAAGUCUGAUGGAGCAACGACCGCGUGUGUGAUGAA
rnacentral:rRNA from 1 species